rnacentral:rRNA from 1 species
AAGUCCCGUAACGAGCGCAACCUUUGCCCUUAGUUACCACAUUCAGUUGGGGACUCUAAGGGGACUGCCGGUGUCAAACCGGAGGAAGGUGGAGAUGACGUCAAGUCCUCAUGGCCUUUAUGCCCAGGGCCACACACGUGCUACAAUGGCGUGCACAAAGCGAACCGAGGCCGCAAGGUGGAGGAAAACGCAUAAAUCACGCCCCAGUUCAGAUCGGAGGCUGCAACUCGCCUCCGUGAAGUUGGAAUCGCUAGUAAUCGCGGAUCAGCUACGCCGCGGUGAAUGUGUUCCUGAGCCUUGUACACACCGCCCGU